GUCAACCCGUGCGGGAGGAGGUAUGUAAGAAACCGCGCACACACAGUAGACAACAUAAAACCCUAGCUCAUCGUCCUCCUUUCAAUUUCAUUUCCCUCGCACAACUCUCGCUUCUCUCUCCCGCCCUCCUUUUUCUCAUCUUCUCCUCAUAAAGAAAACCUAGCCCUAGAUCAUCCAUUCCUAUCAUCAACAAGCCGACCACAGCCGGUCUAUUAUCACUACUCCGGCGACUCAAAUAGCAAGCUCCAACCCUCCCCAACAGUGGUAAGCUUGAAUUUGUUGAUAGUUGAGAGUUCUGUAACUCUGCUGAAUAUGGAUAUUGAUUCUGAUUUUGACAAAAUGAAUAUUAAAGAUGCAAAUGAAGGUUCGUCGAUGCAGUUGGAUACAAAGGUAUCCUCGGAUUGAAAAUAUUAAUUCUUGUUUUUUCUUUACUUUUCAUUUUGUUUAAUCUCUCUCCCAAUCUCAUGCCCUCUGCCCUAAAAGUAAUCAAAGAUUAACUAUAGUGAUUAUCAUUAUUAAGGUUAAACAUGCAAUAGUGCUGGACUUUUCUGUUGGGACUGUAAAGGUUUCUUUUUCUGAUAUCCAAUUUGUGAAUAAGAUGGAAUUUUAUUAUUAGUUUUUAAUAUAUUUAUUUGGUUCCUUAGUACCUCUUAGCAAUAAUUUGGAUAAGCUCUAAUGAUCUUUAUUUUCUCUUCUUUCAAUCUUGAUUUGAAGGGAACUGUUGAAGAAAAGGAGAUUACUAAAUCAAUGGACAAACUAAAUAUUCAACAAUUACCAUCUGGACAAGCUGGAUCUUCAUUAUCAAAUUUCAAAAGAAAACCAGUUGUCAUUAUUGUUGUAGGAAUGGCAGGAAGUGGAAAAACAACAUUUCUUCAUAGGUUGGUUUGCCAUACACAAGCUGCAAAUAUACGUGGUUAUGUACUCAACCUUGAUCCUGCUGUGAUGACUCUUCCAUUCGGUGCAAACAUUGAUAUAAGGGACACUGUUCGAUAUAAGGAAGUCAUGAAGCAGUUUAAUCUUGGACCUAAUGGGGGAAUCCUAACUUCUUUAAAUUUGUUUGCUACAAAGUUCGAUGAGGUUAUUUCAACUAUAGAGAGGCGAGCAGAUCAACUUGAUUAUGUUCUAGUGGACACGCCUGGACAAAUUGAGAUUUUCACUUGGUCUGCUUCUGGAGCUAUCAUUACAGAAGCUUUUGCUUCAACCUUUCCAACUAUUAUUGCUUAUGUGGUUGAUACACCUCGUUCCUCAAGCCCAACUACUUUCAUGAGCAAUAUGCUUUAUGCUUGUAGCAUACUCUACAAGACACGUUUGCCACUCGUGUUGGCAUUUAACAAGAUAGAUGUGGCUCAACACCAGUUUGCUUUGGAGUGGAUGGAAGAUUUUGAAGCCUUCCAAGCAGCAGUCAGCGCCGAUCACUCAUAUACAUCCACAUUGACAGCAAGCCUUUCACUUGUACUUGAUGAAUUCUAUAAGAAUUUAAAAUCUGUUGGGGUCUCUGCUGUUUCUGGGGUUGGAAUGGAUGCCUUCUUUAAGGCUAUCGAAGCGAGUGCUGAGGAAUAUAUGGAAACCUACAAGGCUGAACUUGAUAAGAGACAGGCAGAGAAGCAACGCCUGGAGGAAGAUCGCCGGAGGGAGAACAUGGAAAAGUUAAGGAAAGAUAUGGAGAAAUCUGGAUGUGAAACUGUGGUCCUGAGCACUGGUUUGAAGGACAAACAAGCCGGGAGAGAUACUUUGAUGGAGGAGGAAGAUGAUGAUUUUGAGAGGUUUAGUGAAGAGGAAGAUGUUGUAGAUGAGGAUGAAGAUGAAGAGGUUGCCAGGUUCUCCUUUUAGUGCAGCUGUUUUACAUGCAUAAGUUUAUUGAAAUUAGGUUCUCCUUUUAGUGCAGCUGUUUUACAUGCAUAAGUUUAUUGAAAUUAGGUUCUCCUUUUAGUGCAGCUGUUUUACAUGCAUAAGUUUAUUGAAAUUACUUAAUGAUCAGGAUUGGAUUUUUAAUUUUGAACUAGAUAGGAUGGCUCGAUGGAAUCCUUGCUGUGAAUAUUCCAUGUUUUGAUUUUACAUGUGUAUUGAGUUUUGAAUUGGAGCUUGCCAAUUAUUCACCUAAUAAUUGGACAAUGCUUACGUGGCUGGCUGUGAUAUUCUUAAAUGUGCAUAGAUAUUUUACAUGUACAGGAUUUAAAUUGUAGGGGUGCUUUCUGUUUCUAAAUGAAAUUUGUGAAUUUGCUAUCCUCUGGGCUUUCUGUUGGCAGUGCUCAGAAUUUCUUGCUGUUCUUGCACUGGACGCCCAGAAGUGCUGUGGUUAUUUGUUCAUCGGCAGAUGAAAUUUUGUUUCCGCCAGUAUCGAGGUUCCAGCAAGGCAAAAGGCAUCAGUCUAGCAGAAGGGUUUACAAGUGCCUAAUCUAAUAGAAUUGAAAAUAUGCAAAGAAGAUUAAUAUUGACACUGGAGUUAGACGAUCCAUGAAACGACUUUCAACAAAUUCAAUAAGAUGAACAACAUUCA
rnacentral:misc_RNA from 1 species